rnacentral:rRNA from 1 species
AGUGAACGCUGGCGGUAGGCCUAACACAUGCAAGUCGAACGGCAGCACAGGAGAGCUUGCUCUCUGGGUGGCGAGUGGCGGACGGGUGAGGAAUACAUCGGAAUCUACUCUGUCGUGGGGGAUAACGUAGGGAAACUUACGCUAAUACCGCAUACGACCUACGGGUGAAAGCAGGGGACCUUCGGGACUUGCGCGAUGGAAUGAGCCGAUGUCGGAUUAGCUAGUUGGCGGGGUAAAGGCCCACCAAGGCGACGAUCCGUAGCUGGUCUGAGAGGAUGAUCAGCCACACUGGAACUGAGACACGGUCCAGACUCCUACGGGAGGCAGCAGUGGGGAAUAUUGGACAAUGGGCGCAAGCCUGAUCCAGCCAUACCGCGUGGGUGAAGAAGGCCUUCGGGUUGUAAAGCCCUUUUGUUGGGAAAGAAAUCCAGCUGGCUAAUACCCGGUUGGGAUGACGGUACCCAAAGAAUAAGCACCGGCUAACUUCGUGCCAGCCGCCGCGGUAA